CACGUAGUGGAUUGGAACCCAGCCGUGGCCGUCAUUAGCUGAAUGAGAUACACCUGUGCGUGUUCCUGCCGUGAAUAGGGUCGUUCGGUGACUGGAAAAAAGUUAUGUCGUUUGUAACUUGGACUUACUUCGUGUCAAAGUUUGGAGUUUGCUGCUUCGUGUAUACGCCUUGAAUGGACUCCGAUGCCUGUUGUUGAUGCCUGCACAACACCGAGGUCUCACUUUGUGCUGCUGUUUCGCAGGCGGAAAAACAGCCAAUGCCAUCACUGCUUUGUGCAGGAGAUGCCAGGAGGCUGGAAACGAAUCCGCUAGAUGCCCUGAAACGCCAACCUCCAGGGAGAGCUCCUUCAUUCUUUUUUUUUUUUUUAAGCCUGC